rnacentral:siRNA from 1 species
GCUGGUUUGUGCUUGCCCCG